rnacentral:rRNA from 1 species
UACGUAGGCAGCGAGCGUUUGUUCGGAGUUACUGGGCGUAAAGGGUGUGUAGGCGGUUCUUUUAAGUUUGGCGUGAAAUCUCCCGGCUCAACCGGGAGGGUGCGUCGAAUACUGAGGGACUAGAGUACGGGAGAGGAAAGUGGAAUUCCUGGUGUAGCGGUGAAAUGCGUAGAUAUCAGGAGGAACACCGGUGGUGUAGACGGCUUUCUGGACCGUAACUGACGCUGAGACACGAAAGCGUGGGGAGCAAACAGG